AAAAAAAAAAAACUUCACAUGUGGAAGCAUGGUCUGAGGAAAGCCUACCCUUUCUACCUGCUGGGGGUUGGCCAGAUUUGACAGGCCACCUCGCCAAUUAGCCCCAAGUCAACAAGCAGCUCUGUUACAUAAGGCUCCUAGUUCCUGCCAAAUGUUGCCAUGCCAGAGUAAGGAGAGGGCAAGGAACUCCUCCAAAUUUAGCAUCUAAUUGGUAGCCAUCAAGAGUGAAGCCUUGAAGUGUAAACCCUUGGAGAUCUGAGAUUCUGUCUUUUAUGUGCCUGGGAAAUGUAUCCUCAGAAAACUGCUUUUCAGCUUGGCCUGAAUUUGGCAAAUCUCUCCUUUCUACUAACUAAUAACUUACAGAUCACCUCCUCUUAUUCAAACUUGAAACUAUAUAUAGUCCUGUAGACUACAGGAAGGCUGGCCAGUCUCUUGGCCAAGAGUGAUUUAUUCAGCCCAUUGACUUCAUGAGAUUCUGUUUUGAUGAUGAGUAUACUUGUAAUAACAAUAGCUAUAAUUAAUUCUGUGUGCCAGGCACUUUGAGUAUAUUACCUCAUUGUUUUUCUCAACAAAAUUAUGAGAUCAAUAUUUUCUCCAUCAUUGUAACUAAGAAGCUUAGAGAAGUUAAAUGAUCUGCAAUUAUUUAACUUCUCUGAGCUAAGCUUACUUAGCUAGUAAAUAGCUGCACUGAGACUUGAACCCCAGUCUUUCUGACUCCAGAGCUCAUACUCUUUUACUGUGCCACACUGCCAAUAAUUGAAUUAAUGAGGACCACCUUUUUGUGCGUGACAGGAAAGAAGACAGUAGGAAGGGUAUGAGUAUCAGAGCCAAGGAGUCUAGACUGAUGGAGUUCCUGCUUCUCCUCCAUCUUGCUCAGAGCUUAGUUUCUAUGGAGCCUAGCUGAUGACAGCUAAAUAGUAUAAUUAAGAAGCUCUUGUUUAUUUGCAUUUUAGACCAAAAGUGUAAUGUUGAAUUAGAACUAGGCAUUUUAUAAUCCAGUACUGGUGAAUGUACCAUUUUUAUGAUCAAGUACUGGUGAGUUGUUGAUUGCACAAAAAAAAAUAUGUAAAUAAUUUUAAAUACCUGCUUCAAAACCACCAGCCCUUUAUAUUUACCAACAGAUGAAUUUUACUUCAUCGGAUUAAGAUAAUAGACCCUUUAUUUUUAGCCAGUAUAUUUAUGGAUGGUUAAGUGAAAGUAAAAUACGGGAGCAUAUUAAGAGCUCCAGAGUCUUGGGUUCAGCUCUGUAGUUUCUGUGACUGCUGAAGUGGUGGUCAGGAAUAUAGGAACCCCCUGCUGGGCUCCUGGUCACUUCUGUCUGCUCCAUGGCAGGAAGCCUUCAGCACAAGACAUCAAGGCAAGCUUGAAUGAGAAAAACAAUUUCUUCUUCCUAAGCCAUGUCAUAUCACUUAUACAGAAGUACUACUUUGGGAAACAGUCUUCAGGAGAGCCUCGAUGAGGUCAUACAAUCUCAGCAGUUCACUCAACUUGCCCUUCAAGUUUUACUUCAGUUUGAUAAGGCUAUAAACGCAUCAUUUUGGCUCAGAGGGUUAGGAACAGAGUUGAUUUCAGUGGCUCUCUAAAUACAUACAGAUUCUGCCAUAUAUUCUGUGAUAAUAUGUAGACUUUUAUAUUCAAUGAUAUUGAAUUACAAAAGGUGAUAGAACUUAAAGUGGAUAAAGUGAAAAUUAUGGCCUGUGAUGAUAAAAAUACUGGCUGUAAUACUACCGAAUGAAUAGGAAAAAAAACACGUUUUUAUGACAUCUUCUGUUACUAUUCAUCACUUUUGAAGAGAAAUGUAAAAAUUUUUUUAUUCUAGCAUUGCAGAAAUUACAUUGUGUUAUUUUGGUAUUUCGGUAGUUUUCAGUAGUAUUCAGAGUAUUUCAGUAGAAAGAAGUUUAAAACUCUAUAGCCUCUUAUAUUACCUUUAUUAUACAGCAUGAAAAAAACAUGAGACAGGGUCUCACUCUGUCACCCAGGCUGGAGUGCAGUAGUGCCAUCUCAGCUCACUGCAGCCUCU